AUUGAACGCUGGCGGCAGGCCUAACACAUGCAAGUCGAGCGAGCGGCGGACGGGUGAGUAAUGUAUGGGGAUCUGCCCGAUAGAGGGGGAUAACUACUGGAAACGGUGGCUAAUACCUCAUACUAUCGGAUGCUCCCAUAUGGGAUUAGCUUGUAGGUGGGGUAAAGGCUCCCCUAGGCGACUAUCACUAGCUGGGCUGAGAGGAUGAACAGCAGCACUGAGAAUGAGACACGGCCCAGAUUCCUACGGGAGGCAGCAGUGGGGAAUAUUGCACAAUGGGCGCAAGCCUGAUGCGGCCAUGCCGCGUGUAUGAAGAAGGACUUAGGGUUGUAAAGUACUUGCAGCGGGGAGGCGUUACCCGCAGAAGAAGCACCGGCUAACUCCGUGCCAGCAGCCGCGGUAAUAC
rnacentral:rRNA from 1 species